GGAGGCGUGACAGAGUGGUCGAAUGUGCCGGUCUUGAAAACCGGAGAGCCCGAAAGGGUUCCGGGGGUUCGAAUCCCUCCGCCUCCG
rnacentral:tRNA from 1 species